rnacentral:rRNA from 1 species
AUACGUAGGUGACAAGCGUUAUCCGGAUUUACUGGGCGUAAAGGGCGUAUAGGCGGUCUUGCAAGUCAGAAGUGAAAUUCCUGAGCUCAACUCGGGCGCUGCUUCUGAAACUGCAGGACUUGAGUGCUGGAGGGGAUAGCGGAAUUCCUAGUGGAGCGGUAAAAUGCGCAGAUAUUAGGAAGAACACCGGUGGCGAAGGCGGCUAUCUGGACAGUAACUGACGCUGAGGCGCGAAAGCGUGGGGAGCAAACAGGAUUAGAUACCCUGGGAGUCCACGCCGUAAACGAUGAAUACUAGGUGUAGGGGGUAUCGACUCCCUCUGUGCCGCAGUUAACACAAUAAGUAUUCCGCCUGGGGAGUACGGCCGCAAGGUUGAAACUCAAAUGAAUUGGCGGGG